GCUUCGGCUAUCACUUUUGGAUGGUCCCGCGGCGUAUUAGCUAGAUGGUGGGGUAACGGCUCACCAUGGCAAUGAUACGUAGCCGACCUGAGAGGGUAAUCGGCCACAUUGGGACUGAGACACGGCCCAAACUCCUACGGGAGGCAGCAGUAGGGAAUCUUCCACAAUGGACGAAAGUCUGAUGGAGCAACGCCGCGUGAGUGAAGAAGGGUUUCGGCUCGUAAAACUCUGUUGUUAAAGAAGAACAUAUCUGAGAGUAACUGUUCAGGUAUUGACGGUAUUUAACCAGAAAGCCACGGCUAACUACGUGCCAGCAGCCGCGGUAAUACGUAGGUGGCAAGCGUUGUCCGGAUUUAUUGGGCGUAAAGCGAGCGCAGGCGGUUUUUUAAGUCUGAUGUGAAAGCCUUCGGCUCAACCGAAGAAGUGCAUCGGAAACUGGGAAACUUGAGUGCAGAAGAGGACAGUGGAACUCCAUGUGUAGCGGUGAAAUGCGUAGAUAUAUGGAAGAACACCAGUGGCGAAGGCGGCUGUCUGGUCUGUAACUGACGCUGAGGCUCGAAAGUAUGGGUAGCAAACAGGAUUAGAUACCCUGGUAGUCCAUACCGUAAACGAUGAAUGCUAAGUGUUGGAGGGUUUCCGCCCUUCAGUGCUGCAGCUAACGCAUUAAGCAUUCCGCCUGGGGAGUACGGCCGCAAGGCUGAAACUCAAAGGAAUUGACGGGGGCCCGCACAAGCGGUGGAGCAUGUGGUUUAAUUCGAAGCUACGCGAAGAACCUUACCAGGUCUUGACAUACUAUGCAAAUCUAAGAGAUUAGACGUUCCCUUCGGGGACAUGGAUACAGGUGGUGCAUGGUUGUCGUCAGCUCGUGUCGUGAGAUGUUGGGUUAAGUCCCGCAACGAGCGCAACCCUUAUUAUCAGUUGCCAGCAUUAAGUUGGGCACUCUGGUGAGACUGCCGGUGA
rnacentral:rRNA from 2 species